GUGCAUCUUAGUGAAAGAACUCCACAUCCUCUACAGUUUUGUCAAGGAAUGGGGGCGGGGGGGGCGUCUGAUCAUGCCUCCGGAUGCAGCUGCCAGACUUAGAAACAGGACAGAGGAAUGCGUGGAACCGCAUCUUAAAUGUGCAGUUAGCACAAUCCAGAAGGGGAAACCACAUAUUUAAUACCCUGGGAUUUUCAACAGCUCCCGGUAAGAUCCUGGCAAAAUGGACCCCCCGUUCCUCUUAUUGAUGUCUAGCUGCCAGCCGCUGUACGUUUUACCACACCUCCUGUCUUUCAAAACACAUGCUGGUGUUUUAACACUUGUUGACUUAUGAUUUAGAGGAGGCAGAAGAAUCCCUGAAGAAUUCCAGAUGGGAAUCAGAAGGCUUGCUGUGUAAUUCUGACUUGCCUCAAAUAAGUGACCUUGGAUAAACCACAGAAGCUGUGUUGUCCUCUUUCUCCUCAUGGAACAAACAUGAGGGGUUGACCUGUUACUUAGAAAUUUACAACUCCAAAAUUCUGUGAACAAAACAAUAAAUUGAUUUCCGGUAACCA